GACGAACGCUGGCGGCGUGCUUAACACAUGCAAGUCGAACGGUGAACCUCUUCGGAGGGGCUCAGUGGCGAACGGGUGAGUAACACGUGGGCAACCUGCCCCCGGCUCUGGGAUAACUCCAAGAAAUUGGGGCUAAUACCGGAUGUUCACCGCUUCUCGCAUGGGUGGUGGUGGAAAGGGUUUCCGGCUGGGGAUGGGCCCGCGGCCUCUCAGCUUGUUGGUGGGGUAGUGGCCUACCAAGGCGACGACGGGUAGCCGGCCUGAGAGGGUGACCGGCCACACUGGGACUGAGACACGGCCCAGACUCCUACGGGAGGCAACGGUGGAGAAUAUUGCGCAAUGGGCGGGAGCCAGACACGACGACGCCGCGUGGGGGAUGACGGCCUUCGGGUUGUAAACCACUUUCAGCAGGGACGAAGCGCUAGUGACGGUACCUGCAGAAGAAGCACCGGCCAACUACGUG
rnacentral:rRNA from 1 species